AAAAUAAAAAAAAGAGGAGAGGAGAGAAAAAAUCAAUUUUUAAUAAGUGAAAAAAAAUUGAAGAAACACAUUUGCAUGACUAACGCAUAUAUGAAAAACACUUAUGCUAAAAAAAAGUUUGACGAACAUUGGAGGGACACUUUUUCAUGACUAAUGCAUCUAUGAGGAACAGUUAUGUUAAAAAAAGAGUUUAGGGAGUUUAGCAAAAAUAUGACAAAUAGGAGGGUCAGAUUUGCAAUUUAGUCUGUAUAUGUAUGUAUCAUAUUAAUAAAAUUUAAUACUAUAGUAUAUAUAAUAUGUCUUCGUCUCCAUCUUGUUCGGUAACAACCGUCUUGUUCGGAGCCAUCGUCUCCAUCAAUGUUCCAGCCGGAACCGUAGAAAGCUCCAUUAAACGCAGCCGUUUAGGCACCACAUGGCCAACUACAGAGGCGUAAAUGACGAUUUGGGGAUACUGAUGCUAACAUCCAACAGUACCAGACGGAGAUAAGGGCUCACUCUCAAUUUGCCAAUUCUGCCAUCACCGGUUAAAACAUAUACACUUUUAUUAAAAAAGGUUAGAUCUACAAAAAACCCAUCUUUGCCCUUAUAUGGGAUGGUUCUCCAAUUGGCUCCACCCCUUCGAGAUAACAGCAUACAAUUUUCUGUUAAGGAUGUUUUUCAUUGUUGGUUCUAUCGGUUCCAUCGCCGGUUUCUAGUUAUGUUGUGGAUUUAAUAUGAAAUUGUUUGGUUAAUUCGCUGUUUUUUGUUUUGAUCUGGUGUUGGGUAUUGGAUUUUUGAUGCUAUGGGUUCGUCAAUCACCAGUUUAAUUCUGGGUUGUUCUGGCCGGAUUCGAUCUAUGUCUUUGAGUAGGCGACUGGUGGUGUUGGUGAGAAAGAAAGAUGAACAGUAAGGAGGGUUUGAGUUUGAAUUAAUUAUGAAAAAAUGACAGAUAAAUAAUGUUUUAUUUAUUUAUGUUUGUACUCUGCAUUAUUUUUUUUUGUCUAAAAUUUUUUAAAAAAAAUUGGUCUUAUACAGUUAAAUAUAAAGUCAAUAUGUAUUGUACGACAAAAUUAUAUUUUUAUUUAUUAUUUUAUUUUAGGCUUAUUUAUUCAUGUUGAUGGAG
rnacentral:lncRNA from 1 species